UGAAAGGAUAUAAAAUGAUAUGACAUGAAAUAACAUAACAUAACAUACAUAACAUAACAUAACAUAACACACCAUACAUAACAUAAUAUAACAUAAUAUGAUAUAAUAAAAUAAUAUAAUAACAUAAUUAUAAUAUAAUAUCAUAAUAUAAUACCAUAUAAUGUGAAAAAAGUUAUUCAACAACAAAAUAUGCUGUUGGCUAUAAAAUUAAGAAAGCAAAUCUCUUUUGAAGGAAAAGCUAACCCUAUUUGACAGAAACAAGAAAAGAAGCUUAAUAUUAGAUGAAAACUUGGAUGAUGAUUUGCUUCUAUGUUUGAAGAAUUGGAUUUGUGACCACAUAAAAUUUAUCAUAGCUAAUACCUUGUACCCACAAGUAAUUCAUGACCUCUUGGCUUGGAGGUUGCCAGCAAAAAGAUCUUUUGUGGUGUGUAAGCUUUAAGUUAUGAACAGCUGAACCCUUACCCCUUUGUUCUUCAGUUAGAGAGAUGACAGAUUUUCAACAUGAUUAGUGCAACUAGCAGCACAUGCAUUUCUAUUCAUUCUUUGCAAUUUUGGCAGCAGGUACCACACUAGGUUCUGUGUGAUAGACUCUAAGCCUUUUGGCAAAUGAAAACUUUUAUGUAGCUACAAAGAGACUUGUUGAGAACUUCAUUUUAACUGAGGGUUUUUCCAAGGGUUUCAAAUAUUGUAUCUGGGUAUGCUGCUGAAAUUUUUUCAAUUUGUUUCUAGGAAAAGCUGUUCAAUUUUGAAAAUCAAUCAAAAGGAAGUCAGAAAUCAUUACUAUUGAAUAUUGAUUACAUCAAGGCAUCAACAGACAGACUGUUUACACACAGGGUGUGGUCUAUGGUCUGAGAAACAUCUUCAAAAUUCCGUAAAAAUUGUUUGGUUGAAAACUUUGCAUAUGCUUCUUCAAACAGUGUUACACCCCUUCAAAUACAUACAUGGCAUUUAAAAUGCUAUCAGGAUUUCAUAACGCCAACAAAAUUCAUAAUACCAGGACUGGAACUGCAACAAUUCAGAGCAAGAAUUUUAGCAUAAAAUUCAAAAUGUUUGGACAACAAGCAAAUCCCUGACAAGGAACAUCACCUUCAAGUGAUCAAUGCUUGAAAAUUUAGUACCACACCCACAAUUUCCAUAAAAACAACAGUUUGUGAUUGCUGUAUAAUCUUAUAACUGCUUACUU